rnacentral:rRNA from 1 species
CGGCGGACGGGUGAGUAAUGCCUAGGAAUCUGCCUGGUAGUGGGGGACAACGUUUCGAAAGGAACGCUAAUACCGCAUACGUCCUACGGAGAAAGCAGGGACCUUCGGGCCUUGCGCUAUCAGAUGAGCCUAGGUCGGAUUAGCUAGUUGGUGAGGUAAUGGCUCACCAAGGCGACGAUCCGUAACUGGUCUGAGAGGAUGAUCAGUCACACUGGAAUGAGACACGGUCCAGACUCCUACGGGAGGCAGCAGA